rnacentral:rRNA from 1 species
UACGUAGGGAGCAAGCGUUGUCCGGAAUUAUUGGGCGUAAAGAGCGCGUAGGCGGCUCGUUAAGUCCGCCGUGAAAGUCCAGGGCUCAACCCUGGAAUGCCGGUGGAAACUGUCGGGCUAGAGUCCGGAAGAGGAGAGUGGAAUUCCUGGUGUAGCGGUGAAAUGCGCAGAUAUCAGGAGGAACACCGAUGGCGAAGGCAGCUCGCUGGGACGGUACUGACGCUGAGACGCGAAAGCGUGGGGAGCGAACAGG